GCAGGUUUUCUUAAUAAUAUUUAGCCAAUUGUAUGGGAAGUACGCACGUACAUAUGUAGAUAUAUACAUAGAUAAUUUCGAGUUUUUAAAUAGAAUGUAUAUUUUUUAAUUAGCACCCGGCUAAUGAAUAUUUAAUAGGGCUGCACGGGUGGUUAUGGCAAAAAUUGUCUUUCAGAUACUUACCUAAACUUUAGGCAUCUUUCUGUAGUGCAAUGAUAAUGGGCUAAAAAACCUGUAUUACAUACAUUCCAUGCUCUAGAGGUCGAGGUAGAGAAUCUCAUCUUUGUUCGAGAGUAGGAAUGCGCAUGCAAUUUCUUUGAUGGAGUGACAAUCUGGAAUGAGAGGUGAAAGUGGAGUUGAAAAUAAUGGAUGGUCCGAGUUGUUGCCAACCUGUUGCUAACGAACUCGGUCUGCGAAAUGGACGAGGCAGGCCGACAUUUAGCAACUCUGGUUUAGUCGUGUUAAACUUGAAAACUGAUUUAAAGAAAAUGCAUCACAGAGACAAGUUCGCAGUUUAGAAAUACAAGUUGUUUGCCCAGUUUCAAAUUGAGACGAGCUAGACAAGGUUUGAAUGAAAGAAAGCCGAACGUAAGGACAGAACUGGGUCGACACUGGAGGAAGAUCUUUGCUGGGAGAAACUCGAUAAAUUGAUAAUUUAUGCCCACGCAUCUCUAUAGGAUUUUUGCCUCUACAUAUUUUCGGACGGGAAGGACGCCGUUUUUAUCUCUCCUCGUAUUUACUCCUCAUCACUCGCAUCGGCCAACUGGACACAUUUUCUGGAUUUUUACUUGUUGCAUCUCUCAAAAUAUAAAAAUAUAUACUUCCGAAAUUCCAUUUUUUUAAAGAGUGACAUAAUUAGUAGGAUGAAGCUCAGAAAGUUUAUCCAGUUUGAUACGAACCACCACUACCCGAGCACAUUCGCAGUGCUAUUUCUCAUCAAUAUGUUCAACCAAAAUCAUAUUCGUCAACCGACUUGGAAAUACCAAACACUCUGGAUGACAUACACCAACAAGUGUCACCAGAUUUGAAAAUGGGGUACUUCAUCGUGACCACAGAGUUGGUCAUCUCAUGGAAGUUGGAUAAAAUCUGGGAUUUUAAGGAGAGCCACUUUAUCGAUAUCAUAGAGGACUGAUAGGAAAUCACGGAGAAUGGAGACGAAUGAUUAUUGUAUACAUCUCACUACAAAUAGAUAUUUGACAAGAUGGAGAAUUUUGUGCUCCAGUGUUCAUUUUAGUCAAAUUGUUCAGGCAAAUGCAACUUUUUUGUCCAACAAAAUUGAUACGGUAAUCGACGAUGAAUCAAAGAUAGACAAAUUAUUUCGAGCUAUCUAGAAUCUCUUUGUGACUGAUAUCGCAGCGGACUGAUGGGAACUGAUAAGGCGAAGGCAGUCGUGUUCGACAGGAUAUCGACAUUAAUUUACUCAUCUGAGAUGCACAUAAGUACACAUGUGUAUGUACGUAAUAGUUCAUAAUAUUACCUAAGUAUGUACGUAAUAGCGUUUUCUCUAAACAUCAGUAAUGCACUGUUAUGUUCCAUGUUUUCAUACAUCUAAUAAACGUAUAGGUAUGUAAAUACAUAUGUAUGUUUAUAUGCGUAUAGAAUACGUAAAAAUUGCACUCUUACAUGAGUCAUUCGUAUCACUGGUAGAGAUGCGCAAGAAAUUAUUUUAGCAGUAUGACAGUCAUAAAUUGAACUCUUGAUUUUCCUUUAAUUAUGACGUAAUAUAAAGUUUUUAUGUGGCUGGAAUUGUACAAAUGUCCACAAUGUAUGCAAUGAAAAGCGCAACUCGGAAAAGAAGCAAACCGAAAAUAUAUUUUGAGUCUGUCAGAAUACUGUUUAUUUCUUAUGUAAAAAUGUCAUUUAUUUAUCGAUCUUGUGGAAUAAACAUUCCGAGGUACAAAUUUACCAAUCUCUGCAUAAUUACCCAAACAUGUACCUAACAAUUCUGAUCCGCUCAUAUUGUUCACCUGAUAAUUAGUAAAAUGACUACAUGUUUACUAAUAUCUAGAUUAUUUUUAUUGCAACUUUGUGACGUACUUAUAUUAUGCAAAUGUAUACGCAAAAAUUUAAAAAUACUAUUUACUUAUUACUUGUAUAAUUAAUCACGUGAUAAGGUUAUUUAAAGAUACUACUUUCUUAUGAAAUUUAAUAUGUUGUACAAAUGUUGUUUAUUAAAAUCCAAUUUUACGAAGGAAAGCAUGUUUUCAGAACCCCGUGUUAAAAUAAGCGUCAAGUUUUAUACCUACUUAUGAGCUCCGAUGAAAUGAAUCUUAAUUAUUUACUCAAGAUCUUUUAGCAAUAUAUAAAUGCAUUUGAAAUUA